GGCAGUGUGGCAUAGUGGUUUGAUUGCUGGACUAUGACUCUGUAAACCAGCGUUUGAUUCCCUGCUUAGCCA